AGAUCAAAUAGAACCCUGUGGAGAUGAAGGGACUUGCCUGAGGACCCAUGCCUGGAUUAAUAGCUUGGACUUUUAAAGUGAUAACAUUUCCCACCCCAAAACUGAGAAGCUGAACAAAAAAGCCACCCUUCCUGUCAUCAGGGUAGCAACAUGAGAGGUGGAAAAAACACGCUGGAAAGAAGUAAGGUCUUCUGUUGAACUUCUUACCUUUGGCCCAGGACACAGCUCAGACUCUCUUGCUCUGAAUUUACCUACCCCACUUUGGCACACGCCUGGAGUGAUGCGUUCCUGCCCCAAAGCCCCUUCCAAGCUGUGAGGCUGCAACAUGACCACCAGUAGCCACGCAUGUCACGUGCCAGCAGUGAAUGGACACAUGACUCACUAUCCAGCCGCACCCUACCCAUUACUCUUUCCACCUGUCAUUGGAGGACUUUCCCUGCCUCCCCUGCAUGGCCUUCACAGCCACCCUCCUCCAAGCGGAUGCAGCACCCCGUCACCUGCAAGUAAGUACCACUGGAAUUUGCUCUUUUCUCUUGGUUGAUUGGUUUAAAGGACCUGAGAAAACAGGAUGGUUCAUUUCCGGGGUGAGUGCUUAUUUUGUUGGAUGUUGGUUGCUCUUGGUGUAGAAUGGCAACAUUGAUUCUAUCAGAAGAAAUGUAAUUUGAUUACAUUAUUGUAACCGGAUAAAUGGUGAAUUUUACAAUUUGGUCCAUUCUACACCACAUUGGUAUUUUGCUCUAUUGGAUAAAAUGUAAACACAAAUGUUAAUGAGCCUAUGUGACCAGUGCACCUGAAGAAAUUGACCAUUUGAUCAAUAACAUGAACAAUGAAUAGCAAGAGGAUAUCAUAAAAUCACUAAUGAUAAUCCUGAAUUUGACAUCUAUUCUGGUUGUGAGGUCUUCUUUGAAUCUCUUGCUCAUUUCCUGGUACAGAUAAAAUCUACAAUUGUAUUCAAAUUCCCAGAGAACUUUGCUACCAGUUCAUACGUUAUAAGCUUUUUAAAUGUCCUUCAUCAUUUUUUGGCUCUUGAAGCUAUUUCUUACCUCCAAUUGUCUCUAAAAUAUUGGGUAUACAGUACUAUAAGAUAAAAGCAGUUUGAGUUAGAAUUCUCCAAGAUGAUAUGACUCAUUCACAGAAAGCAUCCAUAUUGUGUGAUUUUAAAAAAGUAGUUCUGCCUAUUUAAGGACAAGCUCUGGGAGCCAGCAAGCUCUUCACCUUUUAGAAAUGUGUUUCCUGGUUUGGUGUGGGGAGGUGAAAGGGCUAUGGAGUCCCUUGCAUUGCCUCAGAUAUCCACACCACCUUCCCUAAUUCUCUCAGGUUCAUAACUUAAGACUUCUUUCUGCAGAUUAUUUCACAUUUUGCAGCUUUUUAAGGUGUUCCUCCAAAUACUGGCUUGGUCUUAGAAGUUUUCCCUUUGAAUGACUCCCUCGAUUUUUCUGUAUCAUGGUCUUGACUCAUUAUCUUCUCCCCACUAGUACCUCCUUCACUCACUGGGAGAGGACUUACUCCACUAACUGGGAUCUCUAAGCUCUUGGUAUAGUGCCUUCAAGAUUAGGAGAUGGAUUCUGGAUGCCUGGGUGUUUGGAUAGAUGGAUGGAUAGAUAAACAAAUGGACAGACUGACCGCAGGGUUGCUGAUUGCAAUCACAGUAUUAUCAUGCCUGAUAUUUACUGAUUUGUUUUCCUUCUUGGAAUGACGUGAUUCUAAUUCUUCUCUUCUGUGUUUUGGAUUUCUAGCCUGAUCAUGUGACAAAUAGAGUCUUUUAAAUUCCUUAAUAACAUUCUCUCAUGCUUCUCAAGUUGAAAUUAAAUGUCGAUGUAGUCCAGGUAGCUUCUUGGCUAUCAGGAAAGGUGGAGAGAAAUCCUGGAUUUAAAGUAUCAUCAUAACACAGGUGCCAAAUCAAACCCCAUUCACCCAACAUGCAAAUGAUAUAAUAAGUUACUCUCAACUAUCGCUUGAAGAGGCCUGACUAAAUGAUUAUUAAAACAUUAAAAUUUUACCUGGGAACUUCUGUAGCUCAGCCAACCUGAUGGACAGCACAUUCUAGCACAUUUCUUUCCUCGGAUCAGAAGUAUAUUUUGUAGAUAAUAGCCAAGAAGUUAAGACAUGAGUGUUGGUCCCAGCCUGGGUGAUCUAAUCUUUCAAGUUGAAAACUCUUAGGUGGCUGUAGCCCUUAGAUGCCCACCAGCAAAUCCCAUCAACGCUGGGCUUCUUUGGCUACUGAUUUUAAGGAAAAUGCAGAGCAUUGUAAACAAAGAGCGGGUGAGAUCUUUGUGCUGGGUGAGCUUCCCUGAGCACUUAAACAGGCUCUCAAUAUACAAAUCCACCCCCAUCUGUUUGCACAUAUUUUUAGGUCUAAGGAUUCUAUAGAACAGUGCUUGGCAAACUACAGCCUACAGGGCAAAGCCAGCCCACCAUCUAUUUUGUAAAUAAAAUUUUAUUAGAACACAGCCACAUUCAUUUGUUUACAUAUUGUAUAUGGCUGCUUUCAUGCUAUAAUGAUAGAGGCUAUUUAUAGCCUAAAAUAUCUGCUGUCUUGCUUUUUAUAGAAGUUUGCUCAUGCCUGUUAAGGAGUAAGAGCAUUGGGACAGAAUCAGUUCACCCUGAAUCUAAUCAGGCUCUGUCUCUAACAGGUGAUGUUAUUAGCUCCUCUAAUUCCUUAGACCCUGAAUGAGCUGGGCUAGAUCGUACCUAAGGUCUUUCACUUAUAAAUAGAGGGCUAUUCUGUUCAUUUUACAGUUUCUAAUAAAGCACAAGAUGCCAUCACUACUAAGUUGACCCAUAAUGCAAUUGCUAUUUUUCAAGAUCAAAGCAGCCAAGUAUUGGAAAUUUCAUAUAAUUCAGCCUUUAGAAGGAGAAUGUUUGCAGUUCAAUAAAAGAGAGUAAAUAAUUACUUACAAUUUUUCCUGAGGGCCUUGGUCAGGAGGUGUUGAGUAACUAUACCUUGGAAGAUGUUGUUGGAAGGUGUCUGGAGAUGGGGCAGAAAUAGGACAAAGUACAGAAAGUUCAAGCUGGAAACUCCAAAAUGGGCUUACUUCAUACUCUGGCUAAUUACCUUGUUUAAUUAUUUCUUACUAUGGACAAAGCACAUGAAAGCCAUUCAGAAGAUCAUUAAAAUAUGCUGCUGUUACUGUUCUGUCUGUUAGGUAGCCCUUUGAUAAGGAGUUGUUUUUGUUCAAACUUGUGGUUCAGAAGACCUGGAAACAAGGGUCAGGUCUAAAAAUUUACACACAGAUUUUUCUCUUGCUAAAAUUAAACUUGAAGUUUUACUCAUGUAUUGAGGUAAGGGGUUUUCACCAAAUUUCAUAAGGUCUUGAUAACUAGCAAAACAUGUGCUUGGUUGGAAAGCUGGCCAAGGGAGGGAUGCAAAAGGAACAAACGGGGUGAUGACUCUGUACAUGGGGUCUUGUCGCUGAACGAUGGGAUCUGCCAAUGUUUCUCCCAUAAUCUGCACGCAUCUUGGUUCAUGCAGCUCAACCAGAAGGUAAAUUCUCCUGUGCAUGUUAUAUAUAGGCUCCAGAACCUUCUAACUCAAAAGCGAGUGAGGACAGUUUCCAUAGCAGCUACUGGUGGUACACCCACUCCUUCCUCUUCCCUCCUGCACUUCUGCCUCCCUGUGCAGCCAGUUCCUAGACCUGUCUUCCUAGAGCUCAUGUGCCCCCAUUGCCAGGUAUGAGAAUGUCCUUGACCCAACAUCUCGUUGACAGCAUCUCGUUCAUUCAACCUCCAUGAAUUUCUCUUCUAUAAACUAUAAAAUAUUUUUAUUCAAAGAAUAACAUCAGGAGAUCCCAUCGUGGCUCAGUGAAACAAAUCUGACUAGUAUCCAUGAGGACACAGGUUUGAUCCCUGGCCUCGCUCAGUGGGUCAAGGAUCUAGUGUUGUCAUGAGCUGCGGUGUAAGUCACAGAUGUGGCUUGGAUCUUCCAUUGCUGUGGCUGUGGCAUAGGUCAGCAGCUGCAGUUCUGUCUGUUUCGACCCCUAGCCUGGGAACUUCUAUAUGUCUCUGCGGGUGUGGCCCUAAAAAAAAAAAAAAAAAAAAAAAAAAAAACCAGGAAGAAGAAGAGCAAUCAUGUUCAAAUGUUUUCAGGAUAAAGAUGGGGUAUAAGUAAAAAGAAGAAAAGUUUUACUAAAAGUGGUAAAACCAGAUAAUCUCUGAGGCCCUUUCAACUCCGGCAGGUGUUACACCUCGGAUUUUCUUCUGGUCUCCACACCAUUUGCAGACAAACAGACCAUCUUUCCUUGGUUUGGGCUGGAUGUGGACUCUGUCCUUCUGCAAUAUGGAGUACUUGGCUAUUGGCAUGACCAUCUCUGACCACACACAACUCAGAGGGAAAUCUGUGGCUCCUUUUCAGAAUUUCUCUGACCCAAGAGAAAAAAGUAUUUUUAGAAGAGAAGUGAAUCUAAAGCAUUUUCCUUGUGUGCUCAUCCUUGUCUUUGUAUUAUUAUGACUUAAUUCUAACAUCAUAGAGUCUCUUUAAUCUUAGAAAUGAGCAAAUACAUGAAAAGAGAAUAAAAUAAUUAGAAAAAUUGCUGUAUAGUGAACACGUCCUGGACAAUCCACUGAGCAUUUACUUAAUGUCUGUCAUUCUUAAUCUUUUUAAGUAGACUCCUAAAAUUGCUUCCAGGCCAUGAGCAAUAGUCCCAUUUUACAGAGGAAGACCAUGAAGCUGGGAUAAAGUAAAGAGCUUCUAUGGCUAGUUCUGUUGGACCCACUUUCUGAGCCCAAAUCUUAGGUCCCCAAAGUGCAUGUCCUUCCCAGUGAGCUGGGUGAUGAGACCAGCUUACCCCUUCAGAUAAUACCCCUGCUGUGCCGUGGGUGUCUCCUCCCCGCGACGGCCCAUGCAGUCCUUGGAGAUGAGGGCAUAUAUAGAACCUCAUGACUUCUCGAGUUUCCUCAACUGUGGGAGCAGCUAUUCUUUUUCAUCAAAGGGGGGUGUUAGGGUAGAUCUCAGAGGUGGGGAGCUGCUGCAGUGUCUCUGAUCAGCUCUCUGUGGGCAGCAAGCUCAUCACCUCUGCAAGCAGGACUUCCAGCAGGAGUACAGCCUGAGACACUGUGCCAGGGACCACUCAAAUUUAAUGAUCCAGGGCUCGCCGUGAAAGUUGGACAACUGUCUGUCUGUCUCUCUUUAUGUUCUUUUCAUGGCUGCUUAUUCUGCUUUAUGGCUGCACAUGUGUUUUUUUAUAGGUUGUUGUAAGCUGGAAAAUAUUAAGAGUUUUGGCUGUGGAGCCCCUCUCAAAAUGAUCUCUGUUUAAUGCCAGCAUCUUAAAAUGAGAGUUCUUUCCCCUUCUUUUUGAAUGACCUGUCCCAUCAAAAAUCACAAGAAAAAGGGUCUUAACUUAA
rnacentral:lncRNA from 9 species